rnacentral:rRNA from 1 species
UACGAAGGGGGCUAGCGUUGUUCGGAAUUACUGGGCGUAAAGCGCGCGCAGGCGGUCUUCCAAGUCAGUGGUGAAAGCCCGGAGCUCAACUCCGGAACUGCCAUUGAAACUGUUGGACUUGAGGAUGAGAGAGGUGAGUGGAAUUCCCAGUGUAGAGGUGAAAUUCGUAGAUAUUGGGAAGAACACCGGUGGCGAAGGCGGCUCACUGGCUCAUUACUGACGCUCAGGCGCGA